rnacentral:rRNA from 1 species
GGAGGAAAAGAAACUAACAAGGAUUCCCCUAGUAACUGCGAGUGAAGCGGGAAAAGCUCAAAUUUAAAAUCUGGUGGUCUUUGGCCAUCCGAAUUGUAAUCUAGAGAAGUGUUAUCCGCGCUGGACCGUGUACAAGUCUCCUGGAAUGGAGCGUCAUAGAGGGUGAGAAUCCCGUCUUUGACACGGACUACCAGGGCUUUGUGAUACACUCUCCACGAGUCGAGUUGUUUGGGAAUGCAGCUCAAAAUGGGUGGUAAAUUCCAUCUAAAGCUAAAUAUUGGCGAGAGACCGAUAGCGAACAAGUACCGUGAGGGAAAGAUGAAAAGAACUUUGGAAAGAGAGUUAAACAGUACGUGAAAUUGUUGAAAGGGAAACGCUUGAAGUCAGUCGCGUCUUUCAGAAAUCAACCUUACUUUUGUAUGGUGUACUUUCUGAUAGAUGGGUCAGCAUCAGUUUUGGUUGCUGGAUAAAGGUUAGAGAAAUGUGGCAUCUUCGGGUGUGUUAUAGUCUCUAAUCAUAUACAGUGGCUGGGACUGAGGAACUCAGCACGCCGUAAGGGCGGGGC